rnacentral:rRNA from 1 species
UGGGGAAUAUUGGGCAAUGGGCGAAAGCCUUACCCAGCAACGCCGCGUGAGGGAAGAAGGUUUUCGGAUUGUAAACCUCUGUCCUGGGGGACGAAGGAAGUGACGGUACCCCGGGAGGAAGCCCCGGCUAACUACGUGCCAGCAGCCGCGGUAAUACGUAGGGGGCGAGCGUUGUCCGGAAUUAUUGGGCGUAAAGGGCGCGUAGACGGCCGAGUAAGUUAUAGGUGAAAGCCCAUCUUUCAAGGAUGGAAUUGCCUGUAAUACUGCCUGGCUUGAGUGCAGGAGAGGAAGCGGAAUUCCUAGUGUAGCGGUGAAAUGCGUAGAUAUUAGGAGGAACACCAGUGGCGAAGGCGGCUUUCUGGACUGUAACUGACGUUGAGGCGCGAAAGCGUGGGGAGCAAACAGGAUUAGAUACCC